AGGGUGCUUGCACCGCUGACGAGUGGCGAACGGGUGAGUAAUGCGUCGGAACGUGCCGAGUAGUGGGGGAUAACGCAGCGAAAGUUGUGCUAAUACCGCAUACGUACUGAGGUAGAAAGUGGGGGACCUUCGGGCCUCACGCUAUUCGAGCGGCCGACGUCUGAUUAGCUAGUAGGUGAGGUAAAGGCUCACCUAGGCGACGAUCAGUAGCGGGUCUGAGAGGAUGAUCCGCCACACUGGGACUGAGACACGGCCCAGACUCCUACGGGAGGCAGCAGUGGGGAAUUUUGGACAAUGGGCGAAAGCCUGAUCCAGCCAUGCCGCGUGUCUGAAGAAGGCCUUCGGGUUGUAAAGGACUUUUGUCAGGGAGGAAAUUCCUAGUGCUAAUAACACUGGGGGAUGACAGUACCUGAAGAAUAAGCACCGGCUAACUACGUGCCAGCAGCCGCGGUAAUACGUAGGGUGCGAGCGUUAAUCGGAAUUACUGGGCGUAAAGCGUGCGCAGGCGGUUUGAUAAGCCAGAUGUGAAAUCCCCGAGCUCAACUUGGGAACUGCGUUUGGAACUGUCAGACUAGAGUGCGUCAGAGGGGGGUGGAAUUCCACGUGUAGCAGUGAAAUGCGUAGAGAUGUGGAGGAACACCGAUGGCGAAGGCAGCCCCCUGGGAUGACACUGACGCUCAUGCACGAAAGCGUGGGGAGCAAACAGGAUUAGAUA
rnacentral:rRNA from 1 species